ACACACACACACACACACACACACACACACACACACACACACACACACACAUGCUCCUUGACUAUAAAGCUCUAAGGGACUCAGGGACAGUACGGUAUGUGCUUCUCUGUACUUACAGAGCAGAGUCAGUCAGGUACAGGGCCUAGUGAGCUAUUAAGGGCUAGCCUUCUUCCUGGAAAUACUGAAAGUCACUGGAGAGAAAAGAAUAAACAACAGGAUUGUCAGAAAGAAGAUGAAGGGAGAGGAAAAGGAAGAAACAGGAGGGAGGUCACUGAAAAUCCUUCCCUUCAGUGGGAGCGUGAGAACAAAGCAGACCGUCAUCUCGGAUGUUUGGCUGAGCUUUUGCUUUCGGCACUGGGCAUUGAAGCCAGAGCUUUUCAGAUGUCAGGCAAGCAUGUGGCUACUGAGCUACAGCAUGGGGCUUUCUCUUUUGACCUAUGAUCAUGUUAAUAUAUUUGCUCGGAAGAUAAUUAACUUCGAAUUUUGUCUUUUUCUGGACUAGCAGUGAAUGGCACAACCCAGAUGCAGCAGGCCACAGCUUCUCCCUAGCAAAGUGCUCAAAGGAACUGUGUCAGUAAACUGUGAUGUGUGUGUGUGAGAGAGAGUGUUGUGUGUGUGUGAGAGUGUGUGAGUAUGUUGUGUCUGUGUGUGAGUGUGUGUGUGAGCAUGAUGUGUUUGUCUUAGUUAAAGGUAUUAAAGGUAAAAAUUUAAGGGAAUAGGAGCAGCGCUGAAGAUAAUGGCAGGCUCAGCGUGGGUAGCUCCGGCUCGGCCCGGUGUCCGGGGUAUGAGGGUCCUGUAAACCCCAGGCUGCAAACAAUGAGUCUCUGACUCGGCGGAGAGCAUGGGUACGGGCGCUGGCUCCAUCCAAGAAGCUGGUGGGCCCUUCGGAAAAGGAGAGAAGGCUGAAGAGGAUCGGUACUUCCGAGAGAAGGCUAGAGAACAGCUAGCUGCCCUGAAGAAACACCGUGAAGAGGAGAUUGACCACCAUUCGAAGGAGAUAGAACGUCUGCAGAAACAAACUGAAUGGCAAAUUGAAGAAGAUUAAGAACCUAAAGAGCAGUGAUCACUAAACGCACACAGUCCCUCACCGAAGGCCCGUAUCAUUCCCCACUUCUGUAGAAACAUUGUUUUGAAUGAUUAAUAUUUGGCCUGUGAUACUAACAGAUAAUAAAUUAUCCCCAGGAAAAAAAAUUCAUGGGAAUAAAGAAAAACAGGAAGCGA
rnacentral:sRNA from 1 species